UAUUAAGCCGGCAUAUAAAAUAUCAAAAUAAAUUCAAUCAAUGAUAAUAUUAAUGAAUAAAAUCAUAAGGAAUUUAACAAGUAUCAUAUACUUUAUAAAUUAUAAAUAAAAGAUAAAAGCAUUGAUGACUCAAUUGUGUCAAUAAUAAUUAAUAAUGAUAAAAAAUAAUUAUAUUGAUACACCCCUGUUGGGUAAAAUGGACUCGUCCAGGUUCCCUGUAUCCCCACCGAUUAAAUUUUCACCGGCUCUUGCCAUAUAUGGGCAUAAAACGUGAGACGCGCUCCGAUUGGUCGUCGCGUCAGCAACUGACUAGUUCCCCAAAUACCGCUUCAAACUGUACGAUAUGAAUAAAGUGAAUACGAUAUAUAAUACUGGAUGUUUGAUAAAUAAAGACAGAAAACUUACACGAAGGAGAGAUACAGGCAAUGACUCUACUACGAGGAAUAUAUACUUAUAUAUAUUACUUGAUUAUAACUAUAGCGUUUCCAGACUGACUCACUACUGUCGGACGUUGUUGGGGAAAAAAAUAUAACCAUUUGUACAGCUUCAAAAUUAUCUGAUGACAACGGAUACACAUAUAUUAUUUUUCUGCAUUACACACUUAGUCAUUAGAUAUUUUAUUGAUAUCAACCUCCAUUGACUCAUCGGGAUUUUACCCUGAAAAAAUUAAAAUUAUUUUUUUUAUAAGAUUUCAGUUAAUAACUUGUAAGUUGGGUCAUAUAAAUCGAUUUUUAUCAAUGAAGUAGACGAGGAGCGGAUGAGAAGGACAAGAUAAAUAUAUAUAGACUUGUAUAAUUAAUCAAUUGUCAUGCCAAUGGCACAACCAAAGCCGUAUAGUAAGGCCAGAAGUCUACACUAGUUUGUCAAGGUCGAGGUUUUUAAGCAUCACCGGCCGUAAGAUUUCUAGGACAAGCUUGUCGCGUCAUAUCAGAGAAUACUUAUAUUGUAUAUAUAUGUAUGUACAAGUUAUUUGUACCGAUUUGGUAUGAGCUUGUUUAUUAUUACGACCGUAAGAAUUCUAUCGAGUCGGUGACGAAAUAAACUAACAAAUAAUAUUAAGUAAUCACAGAUGAAUAAAAUUUAUAAUUAUAUUUUAAAGAAUGUGGCCUUGCACCUUAAUAUGAGUUUUCUUUUAAUCGAUUGGCCAAGUUCAAUGUCGUGUAGGUCGAAAGUUGAAUGGCCCAAUCUAGACGUAGACAUGCAACCACGCACCCAAGAUUUUCCCAGCUACUGAUAUAUAUAUAAUGCGACUACGCCCAAAAUACUUAAAUAUAGCAACUCGAUCCAAUUGCAUUUUAAUAAUAAAAAGAAAAAAACAACAAAACGCUUAUGGUUUAUAUAAAAAGACAAUUAGGAGUGUCAAGGUUAUUCUGUAAGCUAAAAUAUAAACAUAUGUGCUUCAGUAAUUUUUAAAUUAUAAGCUUUAAUUAAAUUGUCCUCAUUU